UGAAAUUCUAAAUGCUAAUGUGUAAUUCAAAUUUCUGAUAUUUAUUCAUUCUGAUUUCUUUAAAUAUAAUUUUUGUUAUGUUGUUUAUUUCAAGAUAAUUAUUUGUUCAACUAGAAUGAAUGUAUGAUUUUGAAAUGGAUAAGAAGUUUUCAAAUAACUUUGAUUCCUAAUCCCUAUGCAAUCUAAUAAGAUACUUUUCCAUAAACCUCAGAUUUUUUUCAUUUGAAAAGUGGAGUAAUAAUGUCUACUGCAGUUAUUGUGAAAAUGAAGUGAGAUAGUGUACUUACACCUUUUAACACCAUGAGACAUGUUAAUUUUUUUCUACUAUUGUUUUAAACAUUUAUUAAGCAUAUUAUAUACACCAGUGAUUAUGUUAUCAUUUGGGGGAUACAUUGCUGACUGAAUAGAUAUAAAUAUAAUUUAAUGAACUUUAGAAUCAUUAAAUGUCCAGUAAAUGGGACUUCAAUUUCUAAAAUGCUAUCUACCUAUGGGACUAAAUCAUAUUAAAUAGACCCACAUAGCACGGGUAAGUCAUAAAACUAACAUUUAUCAUCUUCAGAGUAAACUUAUUAUUUUUAUUAAUUGAUAUAUAUGCUGUAGGUCUUAUUUCCAGAUGUUACUUGACCUGCAUUAUCUUCUCUACACGCAUUCAUCUUUGAAAUGUUGACUCAAGCUUUAAAUUUGUGCUGCAUCUAGAAGAGUCACAGGGAAGAUUCCAAAUGACUGAUUAGGGAAUGACACACUAUGCUAAGCUAGGAAUAAAUAGUGAAAAAAAAAAGAAAAAGAAAAGAAAGCAUCAGAAGUGCACUCUCAGGGGAGUAUUCGAGAGAAAACCACACUGGAAAUCCCACAAGAGGAAGAGGAACGUCGUGGACCUGUGUGGGAGGUGAACGUCGUGGACCUGUGUGGGAGGUACAGAUACGGAGCACAAAAAUGGACACAACACAUGACUGCAGCAGCAGAAAGAUGGAGCAGGUGGCAGCUUGGAGACAGAAGCAUGCAGAAGAAAAAAAGCUCCCUGUCUGCUCUUUCAAUUUUUAGCCAUCAUUUCUUAAUCACUAAGCCUAAGAGAAAUUGCCAUUUUUAUCCCAAUAUAUGCUCCUUAACUCUCAAAGGAUCUGCAAAUAGAAAGACCUCAAUAAACAUUUUUCACUUGUGAAUGUUGAAUAAGGUAAUACGAAAACCUAGACCUCAACGUGAGGCUUUUCCCUAAUCUACCGGAUACAUUCACCUGAAUGUUCCACACGUCCUGCAAGUUAAAUGCAUUGUUGUUCAGAUCUAUUCUUUCUAUAUUCAUAUUGUGAAAGAUUCUUAAUUUUUAUUUAUUUAGGAGGAAGAGAGAGCAGGAGAGGCAGAGCUAGACAGACAGAGAUCUCCCAUCUGCUGAUUCACUCCCCUCAAUGUCCAGAAUAGUCAGGGUUGAGCCAAACUGAUGCCAGAAGCAAGGAACUCAAUCCAUGUCUCCCAGGCGUGUGUGUCAGGGACAGAACUACUUGAGCUGUGACCUGUUGCCUCCCAGGAAGCACAUUAACAGGAAACUGGAGUCAGGAGCAGAGCUAAGAACCCAGGCAUUCCUACAUGGCAUGCUGAAACCCAAGAAGAGUCUUAACUGUUAGGCCAGAUGUCCGCCCUUCUGUAUUUCCUGUAUUAGUAAAUGACGCCGUCUUUUACACAGUCACUCAGUUUAGGGACUUGCAACGCUCCCUUUGUCCCUUAUUCUAUAUGUUAACCGAUUAAUGCACUCACAGUGACACUAUUUAUUAUUUGUUGGCUGUUUGCCCUGUUGUUUUCUUGAUUCAGGUCCUUGUAAUAGCUCUUCUGGAAUACUGUGAUUUUCUCCCUUCCAGUCUUUGGUUUUGUAAGCCUCUGAUUUGCCCUUCAUAUUGUUGUCCCAGUGAUCUAAUAAAAUGCAAAUCUCAUCAUGUAACUGCUUUGCU
ensembl:lncRNA